GAAGCGAACAUCGAAUACAAACGCAUUUCUUGAAACUUUACAGAAAGAACAAACAAAUGAUGUCUGCUCAUGUCCUCGAGUACACAAAGUGGUGAGUGACUGUUACCGCAAGGCUACAAAUUUUAAGACAGGAUGUGAAGGAAGAUGUUUGUGUGAAAGUGUUUUACGGCGCUUGCGGCAUACGCGACCGAUCUACGCAAAAGUCCGUGCCUUCGUUUCGGAAGCGAAGUUGUGAAGGGCUUGACAGUUUUCUCAUAUAUCUGUUUUGUUUUUACGCGCGGAGAUGGCAUAAUCUCCUUUAAUAUAAACAUGCGCUCGCUUUUGAACCAGGAUACCGGUGAAAGAUUUAACGAAAGGCCUACUGUAACGACGUUAGCAUUAGUUUUUACCACACCACCCUAACCAAGUUGCACCUUUGGCCUUUGUCGCGUUUUAGAUAUUCGUCCUGUCGAAUUAUU